rnacentral:RNase_P_RNA from 1 species
UGAGUCAACCAGGCAAUCGCUGGCUUGAAUAUCUGUUCGAGCUAGAGGAAAGUCCGGGCUCCUAGGACAAGGUGCCAGGUAAUCCCUGGGGAGUGUGAACUCACGGAAAGUGCAACAGAAAACAAACCGCCUCACAGUUACUGUAGGGUAAGGGUGAAAUGGUGUGGUAAGAGCACACCGCGAUUGUGGUAACAGAAUCGGCAUGGUAAACCCCACUUGGAGCAAGGCUAAAUAGGAGUUAUAUGGUGUGGUCCGCACCAACUCGGGUAGGCUGCGAGGAGAUGCAUGGUGACAUGUAUCCGAGAUGAAUGAUUGCCCACGACAGAACCCGGCUUAUCGGUUGACUCAAUUC